CACACAACAUGUUCGAUUAAAUAGCUAGGUGAUGUGUUUUAUGCAAUUUUGUAAACUUUGCUUUUGUUACGCGUAACAAUUGAGUUGAGUAGCUUAUGGUAAUGAGAUAUCAUGGCAAAGGCAUUACAAAACACAAAACCCCAAAUUGCACACAAGUGGGCGUGUCAGGGCUAGGUCAUAGCACCUCCCGUUACACACUUCACCCCUUCAUUUACCUAACCAAACGACCUCCAAUCAACUUGAAAUUUGAAUAUCUGUUAGACCAAAAUGAAAGCUUCCAUAUGCCCAGAAGUUGCUCAAGAAAAUUUCAAAUUUUCUCAGUAAUGCUCGGGGUGAAAGUCCUCACUUGGCCAUCGACGUACUUGAACAAAAGGAGCAUGUUGAGCCUAGUUUUGUUAGUUUUUCUUAUUUUCGCAACAUUUACAGUAUCUUGAACCUAGUUUCAUGAAUAUUGCAUACCAACAUGUUAUACAUGCAUUUCGAAGUAAGUUGGGGGAUUGGGCGUCACAGUUGUCUUUCUUGUUUUUCAUUCCUAUUUUAUUACACUCUGUGGUUCUCACAUGAAAAUUUUUCCUCUUGUAGGAUGCCACCAAAAAGAACUUUGAAAGGGAAGGGAAAGAUUGGAUCAUCAUCUAGGACAGCAUGCAUUAAAGAGCUUUAAGGGGGCAUACAGAGAUUCCUAAAUCCCGAGACUGCAGCCCGCCAUGCGAACAUCGUAAGUCGGUGGGCAAUGAUCCCGGAGCAGUCAUUGAAGUCAGAUGACUUCCCUGAUUUUGAAUUGGUUACCUGGUCGAAAAUGGUGGAUGGAGAAAAUAGUGGAGCGGCCACACCCCGUGUAUGAAAGCUUGGUUGGAAAGUUUUAAGCAAAUUUCAAUGCAGAGAUUGACACAUCGAGCUUUGACCAUUUGCAUCAGACGUGGGUUAGGGGAUAGUGGAUCAUAUUUUCACCAAAAGUUAUCCAGGACUUCUAUCAACUCUCUUGGAACAACAUAACCUCCAUUCCGGGCAAGCUUAAUUGGAAUGAAGUGGCAACGAUUCUAUUAGGGCGAGAGAAUGCUUGGCCGCUCCCAACCACUGAAUGGCCGCUCCCAGCCAUCUUGUGGCUAUUUAUGUGUUAUAAUAUUAAGCCGACCUUACAUCGAACCACAUUUACAGAUCCUACGGUCGGGUUCAUAUAUCACUUAGUUCGGGGAAAGAAGAUCGAUCUCGCCACACUCUGCUAUGAUCAAAUACAUAAUUUGGGUAUUUGGGGAGACGGGCACAGUUCUUUGAUUUUCCCUAGACUCAUCAGCGGCAUAUGCAAGGCUGUGGAUGUCACUAUCCCACCAGGGAAGGCGUCCGCUAAACCCAGCCCCUAUAAGGCGCACUACAUUGGAUGUUUGGAACAAAGCCAGGAUGAAGCACAGGGAGAAAGCAGAAAAUGAGCGCCACAAGCAGCAACAGGUCGCAGCAGGACAAGCAGCUGAGGAUAUAGAGAUGCCACAAGCCCCCCACCACCGAUUGACGUGGACACACAGUCGUUGAGAUAGAUCUUCGCCACCACGACAAGUUCUAGCAAAGAUAUCCUGAGCGUUCAUCAAGCAUUUAGGGUCAUGACCAUCGAUGUACAUAAGAUACAAAGUGACCUCUUCACCUCUAGAAAUUUAAUAAUGGACACCAGGCAGCGAGAAGAGAGGCUGACACCAUGAAUAGUCAAUCCCAUGUCUCAUUAACCCUGGGUCUACUUGGCAGCACAGCUCUCAUCACAUUACUCUGCUCUCUAGCCUCUGCCUCCAUGACGCGUACUCGAUCCCAUGUCUCAUUAACCCUCAGCUGUAUACCAUCCACCCGGCCCAUAUGCAUAUUCAGCCGACUAUUCAUGGUGUCAAUCUCUUUUCUCGCUGCCUGGGCUUCGCUCCUGGCAUCCAUUGAGAAAUUUCUAGAGGUAAAGAGGUCACUUUGUAUCUUAUGUACAUUGGUGGUCAUGGCCCCAAAUGCCUACUGAAGGCUCAGGAUAUCUCUACUGAAACCUAUCGUGGUGACGAAGAUCUGUCUCAACGACUCUGUGUCCACAUCAACCGAUAAGGGGGGGCCUUGUGGCAUCUCUAUAUCCUCAGCUGUUUGUCUUGCUACUACUUGUUUUUGCCUGCGGCGCUCAUUUUCUGCUUUCUCCCCCUGCUUUAUCCUAGCUCUGUCCUGAACCUCCAAUGUAGUGCGCCUUAUAGGGGGUUGGGUUUAGUGGGCGCCUCCCCUGAUGGGAUAGUGACACCUGCAACCUUGCAUAUGUCGCAGAUGAGGCUAAAGAACUGUGUCUGUCUCCCCAAAUACCCAAAUUAUGUAUCUAAUCAUAACAGAGUGUGGCGAUAUCGAUCUUGUUUCCCCGAACUAAGUGAUAUAUGAACCCGACCGUGGGAUCUGUAAAUGUGGUUCAAUGUGAGGUCGGCUCAAUAUUAUAGCACAUAAACAGCCACAAUAUAGUUAUGGAUGGUGUCAGUUCAAUUUCGUGUCAUUCAGUGGUUGGGAGUGGCCAAGCAUUCUAUCGCCCUAAUAGGAUCUCUGCAACUUCAUUCCAAUUAAAUUCGCCUGGGGUACGGGUUAUGUUGUUCCAAGAAAGCUGAUAAAAAUCCUGGAUAACUUCUAGUGAAAACAUGAUCCACUGUCCCCAACCCACAUCUGAUGCAGAUGAUCGGAGCCUCGUGUGUCAAUCUCUGCAUUGAAAUUUGCAUAAAAUUCUCCAACUAAACUUUCAUACAUAGGGUGUGGCUGCUCCACUAUUUCCUCUCAUCCACAAUUUUCAACCAGAGUAACCAAUUCAAAAUCGGGAAAGUCAUCUAACUUCACUGGCUGCUCUGGGAUCAUUGCCCACCGACUUACGAUGUUUGCAUAGCGGGCUGCAAUCUCGGGAUUUAGGAAUCUCUGUAUGCCCUCUUCGGGCUCUCUAGUGCGUGUUGUCCCAAAUGAUGAUCCGAC
rnacentral:lncRNA from 1 species